rnacentral:rRNA from 1 species
CCUAGAGGGGGGACGAACAGUUGGAAACGACUGCUAAUACCGCAUACGAUCUAAUCUCGGCAUCGAGGAUAGAUGAAAGGUGGCCUCUACAUGUAAGCUAUCACUGAAGGAGGGGAUUGCGUCUGAUUAGCUAGUUGGAGGGGUAACGGCCCACCAAGGCGAUGAUCAGUAGCCGGUCUGAGAGGAUGAACGGCCACAUUGGGACUGAGACACGGCCCAG